GGUUGUAGCUCAGCGGUAGAGCUUUGCCUCACACACGUGAGGCACUGGGUUCAAUCCCCAGCACCA
rnacentral:tRNA from 1 species